rnacentral:rRNA from 1 species
CCUACGGGUGGCAGCAGUGGGGAAUAUUGCACAAUGUGGGAAACCCUGAUGCAGCGACGCCGCGUGAGUGAAGAAGUAUCUCGGUACGUAAAGCUCUCUCAGCAGGGAAGAAAAUGACGGUACCUGACUAAGAAGCCCCGGCUAACUACGUGCCAGCAGCCGCGGUAAUACGUAGGGGGAAAGCGUUAGCCGGAGUGCCUGGGUGGAAAGGGGGCGUGGACGGCAGCACAAGUCUGGCGUGAAAUCCCGGGGCUUAACCUCGGAACUGCUUUGGAAACUGUGCGGCUGGAGUGCCGGAGGGGUAAGCGGAAUUCCUAGUGUAGCGGUGAAAUGCGUAGAUAUUAGGAGGAACACCGGUGGCGAAGGCGGCUUACUGGACUGUAACUGACGUUGAGGCUCGAAAGCGUGGGGAGCAAACAGGAUUAGAUACCCGAGUAGUC